GGACAAAGACUGACGCUCAUGCACGAAAGCGUGGGGAGCAAACAGGAUUAGAUAUCCUGGUAGUCCACGCCGUAAACGAUGUCUACUCGGAGUUUGGUGUCUUGAACACUGGGCUCUCAAGCUAACGCAUUAAGUAGACCGCCUGGGGAGUACGGCCGCAAGGUUAAAACUCAAAUGAAUUGACGGGGGCCCGCACAAGCGGUGGAGCAUGUGGUUUAAUUCGAUGCAACGCGAAGAACCUUACCUACUCUUGACAUCCACAGAAGCCGGCAGAGAUUCUGUUGUGCCUUCGGGAACUGUGAGACAGGUGCUGCAUGGCUGUCGUCAGCUCGUGUUGUGAAAUGUUGGGUUAAGUCCCGCAACGAGCGCAACCCGCUAUCCUUAUUUGCCAGCACGUAAUGGUGGGAACUCUAGGGAGACUGCCGGUGACAAACCGGAGGAAGGUGGGGACGACGUCAAGUCAUCAUGGCCCUUACGAGUAGGGCUACACACGUGCUACAAUGGCGAGUACAGAGGGUUGCAAAGCCGCGAGGUGGAGCUAAUCUCACAAAGCUCGUCGUAGUCCGGAUUGGAGUCUGCAACUCGACUCCAUGAAGUCGGAAUCGCUAGUAAUCGUGGAUCAGAAUGCCACGGUGAAUACGUUCCCGGGCCUUGUACACACCGCCCGUCACACCAUGGGAGUGGGCUGCAAAAGAAGUGGGUAGCUAACCUCGG
rnacentral:rRNA from 2 species